GGGCUCAGUCCGGGAGCCAGCGGCUGGACGGGGCGGGGUUGCGCCCUGGAACACCGGGCAGGCGAGGAAGGAGAAAAGCCCAGCUGGCGGCUUAGAGGCGAGGGUCGUGCCUUUCCCAGCGGCCUCGCCCUGGCCAUCCUGACCCUGAGGGAAGAGCCUCUAAGGACACGAACCAUCUGCGGCUGAAGUCGCUUGGACUGAACCCCGCCGAAGAUUUUGGCAGCUGCACACUCCCUCCCAGGGAGGUGAGGGCGCCCGGCGAAGUGUGGGGUCUGCCGCCCCCUGCCGGCCUGGCUGACGUUCGCUUCUGUUUCCACGGGGCCCAGCAAUGUUCCAAGUGCAACGUUUGGAAGAUUGAUUCCUAGAGGAAGGCUGAGUCCAGAGUGUCUGAACUCAGUGACAGCUUCCCACGUGAAGGUCAAGUGUUGUCUGCAGCCCCUGUGGAAUCCUGGUUGCCAACGUCCGUCCUUCCACUUAGAGCAGUUCUUGUGCAGUCUUUGAUGCAAGGUCUGGAGGCUGGAAGUCCAAGAUCAAGGUGUGGGCAGAUGCAGUGUCUGGUGAAAUCUCUCCCCUUGGCUUUUAGAUGGCCCGACUCCUCGCUGCACCCUCACAUGGCAUCUCCUCUGCUUCUGUGAGGAGGGAAAGGGAUGGGGUGUGUGUGUGUGUGUGUGUGUGUGUGUGUGUGUAGAGAUGGCUCUCCUUAUUGAGGCAUGAAUCCCAUCAUGGGAAUUUCAUCAUGGCCUUCUGCCACAUGAAGACACAGUAAUAAGGGGUCACCAGAUGCUGGCACCUUGACUGGGGACCUCACAGCCACCAGAACUGUGACACAGUCCAUUUUUGUCCUCUAUAGAUUACCCAACCUGUGACAUUUUGUUACAGCAACACAAACAGACUGAGACCUAUGGAGAGGCUUCUCUUCCCACCCCUGUAGUGACUCCUUCUUUGCUAAAUUCAGUGAGCAUUUUUCAGUCCUCAUCUUUGUGAAAGGACAUUUUGCUGCAGUGGAGACUGGAGCUCAGAUAUUGUUGAUGAUCAGAGUUGGCGUGUCUCCCCAAUUGAUUUACAGUUGAGUGUUGGAUACUGUUUUAAACCUGGGAGGAGCCUCCUAACCAUCUUGAUACAACCACUGAUGUGACUACACUAGAGAUAGACUCUUUCCACUUAAUUCUACCCCUCUCGCUUUACUUCAUGAGGAUGAAAAUAUAAUAAUGCACCAUGAAUUCAUUUAGGGAAGGAUUGAUAUUUUAUUUUAUUUUUUUAAAUAUGUAUUUAUUUAAGCUACACCUACUGGAAUGGGAAGGAUUGAUCUUUUAUUUUACUUUGUUUUGUUUUUAUUUAUUUAUUU